rnacentral:rRNA from 1 species
AACGCUGGCGGCGUGCUUAACACAUGCAAGUCGAACGAAGAGCGAUGGAAGCUUGCUUCUAUCAAUCUUAGUGGCGAACGGGUGAGUAACGCGUAAUCAACCUGCCCUUCAGAGGGGGACAACAGUUGGAAACGACUGCUAAUACCGCAUACGAUCCAACCUCGGCAUCGAGGAUGGAUGAAAGGUGGCCUCUAUUUAUAAGCUAUCACUGAAGGAGGGGAUUGCGUCUGAUUAGCUAGUUGGAGGGGUAACGGCCCACCAAGGCAAUGAUCAGUAGCCGGUCUGAGAGGAUGAACGGCCACAUUGGGACUGAGACACGGCCCAGACUCCUACGGGAGGCAGCAGUGGGGAAUCUUCCGCAAUGGACGAAAGUCUGACGGAGCAACGCCGCGUGAGUGAUGACGGCCUUCGGGUUGUAAAGCUCUGUUAAUCGGGACGAAAGGUCCUCUUGCGAAUAGUUAGAGGAAUUGACGGUACCGGAAUAGAAAGCCACGGCUAACUACGUGCCAGCAGCCGCGGUAAUACGUAGGUGGCAAGCGUUGUCCGGAAUUA